ACUCUGAGGCAAUUGGAGGCAAUUUUCAUCGAAUAAAAAAAAUUGGUAAAUUUGUUCAUUGUCAACAUGUAUGAUUUCAAAAAAUCUGAAUCUUCAGAUAAAGACGUAGUAUUUUGUCUGUAUUAAAUAUAGACUUUUGAAACAUACGACAGCAUAUUAUUUCUAAAUUAUUAUGAAUUUAUAUUUUUUAGGGGGACAACUCAAUAAUUAAGGCGAUUUUAGGGGUUUUUGACAUCAACUUUAGGGAUAAAUAUUUUGGAGAGUUGGUAACACUGCGCCAAGCUUGCCAGUGGAUCGCUAGGAAGCGUUUUAAACGGUACAGGAAUUAGUUUGUGUUUUGUGACUGCAAAAGUAGAAAAAAUACAAUGCCAAAGAAACGCCCGUUAAGUAGGAAAAUAGGUAAUCAUACCGAAGAAGAUAUGAAAAAAGCUCUUCAAGAUGUCAAAUCAGGGAAAAAAUACUUGCUGUUGCUAGAGAACAGAAAAUUCCAUUUUCGACCUUACAACAUUAUGCAGCCAAAAUUAAAGCAUCACAAGUCCACAACCACAAGUCCUGAAAAUGUGAGACUUGUACCAAAGUUAACAGAGUUUUCACGGAUGAGCAAGAACAAGCAUUAAAGGAGUAUUUUGAUUUAUUAUCAAAAUUGCGCUCUUAUGUUCUCAAAUCGAUAUCCGUUAGUUGGUAUUUGGAAAGGUUUUUAUUUAAUUUUAUGUUUUGCUGAUAAUAAUGUUAUUACAAAAAUCUCAAUCGUGAUUUAUAGGUUAAGUAAAAAACGAAAGUGCUUUUAAAUUGUUAAGUGGCUAAAGUAAAAAGUCUAGAAGCUAAGAAUCAUUUGUUUUGUUUAAAAUUUAUAAUGUGGUUUUAUGUUGGUUAUAUUUCAAUGAAUGAAUAUUAUUAUUAUAUUUGUUUAUAAAGAAGAAGAACUUCAUUUACUUUGACAUUUUACAUAUGAAGACUUUUGGUUGACUAGUUAAGAAUACUACAUUUAAAAAAAUCUGUUUGUCAUAAUAUUAAAGGAUUAAUAAUAUGUUAAACAAAGUCUAAAUACAGUUUUUAUACAUAGAUAAAAAAUAUUACCUUUUAUUUUAGGUUAAACACCCAACUGACCCACUGUGACCUGAAAACUGACUCACUGUAUACACUAUAUAGGACACAGUGGAUCAAAAGCCAUUUUUAAAAGAAAUAUAUAUUUUUCAAAAAAUAUUAAGUAUAAUACAUAUAUUUGUAUACCGAAACGCAGCUAAUUAGUCUACCUUUCUUCCACUAAAGUUUGACAUCGAUAGCUUUUAUGGUUUUUGAGAUAUAUGACUCGGAAAAAAGGGUGACUCACUGUUCCCACAAUCACCCUACUGAUAAUAUGGCUGAAAAUUUGUGGAGAGAUAAUUAGGUUAGGGGUAGGGUAAAUGUAGGGUAGGGUAGGUAGGGUUUGAGUUGGGGUAGGGUAAGGGUAGGGUAGUGGUAGAGUACGGGUUGGAGAGGGACAGGUGUAGAGUAGGUAGUAGUACGAAAUAAAAAACGAAAGUUCUAUAAUGUGUGUCCACUCUCCUCAGCGGCAUGUCAGGGCCAAGGGGGCAGGAUCACCCUAGGAAAUAAUCUUAACUAAGCCCUAAUUAUGUUUAUAAUUUAUAUGUAUUAUUAUUUAUAUAGAGGCCAAUACUCUGUAACCGCACUGUACUUGUUGCUACUUGCUAUCGUUGCUAUCUUUACGCUUAGAGACAUCUCUGGACGAAUAGCCAAACUAAAAUUUCAAAUUAAUUGUUUGUUAAAGUAUCCGAUAGAUAGCGCUAACAUCAAAAUAAGAGGUAUUUUUUACUUACUUUUAAUAAAUUCCUAUAAAAAAUACAUUUCAUUUAUUAAGUUGUUAAAACAAUAUUUAUUUUUUAUUAACAUUAUUAAAUUCGUAAACACCUUUGUUUAGCUUUUUACAACAGCGACUGGCAACUCUAAGAAAUUAGAAUUUUAAAAUUCAGGGAAGUUGGGACUUUGGGAGUUUGCCGUGGUUGCCAGUUGCCAGGUUGCCACUUGCCGAGUUCUGGACUUUGGGAACGGGAAGUGAAAACUGUGUUAGUGUAACAAAAAUGAAUCUUCAGUGGUAAAAAAAAAUGUUUUAACAAAAUGUUUGUUGGUGUAUAAUAAUGUUAUUGAUUAUUCAGUCGUUAGUAAGGAUAAUUAAAUAUCUAAGCACAUAGUUGACAGCUAUUUUUAUAACCUAAAUUAGUCAUCAAUAAAAUAGUACUAAAUGAAUAGGUGACGAACGUCUGGAAUUGUAACAAAUUAAAUGUUAUAGUAAAAAUGUUACAACGCUGUGAUGAACAACGUUAGUGAUAUUAUCAACAAUUCUAUUUGAUAUCAACUUGUUCCAAGUAGAACUGUCGCUGCUGUGAUACCAAAUCAAUUGGUAAGUGUCUUUUUGUAUGUACCUACUUAUACAUAUACCCAUGUAUCUUACCCGACUUGUACUUUCAUACAAAAAUAGUAUACGAAAAUCGCUAU